rnacentral:rRNA from 1 species
GAUGAACGCUGGCGGCGUGCCUAAUACAUGCAAGUCGAGCGAACGGACGAGAAGCUUGCUUCUCUGAUGUUAGCGGCGGACGGGUGAGUAACACGUGGAUAACCUACCUAUAAGACUGGGAUAACUUCGGGAAACCGUAGCUAAUACCGGAUAAUAUUUUGAACCGCAUGGUUCAAAAGUAAAAGACGGUCUUGCUGUCACUUAUAGAUGGAUCCGCGCUGCAUUAGAUAGUUGGUAAGGUAACGGCUUACCAAGGCAACGAUGCAUAGCCGACCUGAGAGGGUGAUCGGCCACACUGGAACUGAGACACGGUCCAGACUCCUACGGGAGGCAGCAGUAGGGAAUCUUCCGCAAUGGGCGAAAGCCUGACGGAGCAACGCCGCGUGAGUGAUGAAGGUCUUCGGAUCGUAAAACUCUGUUAUUAGGGAAGAACAUAUGUGUAAGUAACUGUGCACAUCUUGACGGUACCUAAUCAGAAAGCCACGGCUAACUACGUG